CCCUUAGAUGUUCUGGGCCGCACGCGCGCUACACUGAUGCAUUCAACGAGUUUCUUCCUGGUCCGAGAGGAAUGGGUAACCUUUUGAAAGUGCAUCGUGAUAGGGAUAGACGAUUGCAAUUAUUGGUCUUCAACGAGGAAUUCCUAGUAGACGUAGUUCAUCAGACUGCAUCGAUUACGUCCCUGCCCUUUGUACACACCGCCCGUCGCUCCUACCGAUUGAAUGCUCAGGUGAGCCAUUCGGACUUUCAUCAUGCUGGUUUCCAGUUUUGAUGAAGGAAAGUCUUGCGAACCUUAUCAUUUAGAGGAAGGAGAAGUCGUAACA
rnacentral:rRNA from 1 species